GGGUUGUAAAGCACUUUCAAUGGGGAAGAAUUUAAUAUUGAUAAUACCGAUAUUAGUUGACAUUACCCAUAUAAGAAGCACCGGCUAACUCCGUGCCAGCAGCCGCGGUAAUACGGAGGGUGCAAGCGUUAAUCGGAAUUACUGGGCGUAAAGAGUACGUAGGUGGUUUAUUAAGUCAGAUGUGAAAUCCCUAAGCUUAACUUAGGAACUGCAUUUGAAACUAAUAAACUAGAGUUUCGUAGAGGGGGGUAGAAUUCCAGGUGUAGCGGUGAAAUGCGUAGAGAUCUGGAGGAAUACCAGUGGCGUAGGCGGCCCCCUGGACGAAGACUGACACUCAGGUACGAAAGCAUGGGGAGCAAACAGGAUUAGAUACCCUGGUAGUCCAUGCCGUAAACGAUGUCGAUUUGAAGGUUGUAAUCUUUAUAUUGUGGCUUUCGGAGCUAACGCGUUAAAUCGACCGCCUGGGGAGUACGACCGCAAGGUUAAAACUCAAAUGAAUUGACGGGGGCCCGCACAAGCGGUGGAGCAUGUGGUUUAAUUCGAUGCAACACGAAGAACCUUACCUACUCUUGACAUCCAAAGAACUGUAUAGAGAUAUAUGGGUGCCUUCGGGAGCUUUGAGACAGGUGCUGCAUGGCUGUCGUCAGCUCGUGUUGUGAAAUGUUGGGUUAAGUCCCGCAACGAGCGCAACCCUUAUCCUUUGUUGCCAACGAGUAAAGUCGGGAACUCAAAGGAGACUGCCGGUGAUAAACCGGAGGAAGGUGAGGAUGACGUCAAGUCAUCAUGGCCCUUAUGA
rnacentral:rRNA from 1 species